CAAGUCGAACGCGAAAGGGGCUUCGGCCCUGAGUAGAGUGGCGAACGGGUGAGUAACGCGUGGGUGACCUACCUUCGAGUGGGGGAUAACGUCCCGAAAGGGACGCUAAUACCGCAUGACAUUCCGUGUUUGAAGACAUGGAAAUCAAAGCCGGGGAUCGCAAGACCUGGCGCUUGAAGAGGGGCCCGCGUCCGAUUAGCUAGUUGGUGAGGUAAUGGCUCACCAAGGCAACGAUCGGUAGCCGGCCUGAGAGGGCGGACGGCCACACUGGGACUGAGACACGGCCCAGACUCCUACGGGAGGCAGCAGUGGGGAAUUGUUCGCAAUGGGCGCAAGCCUGACGACGCAACGCCGCGUGGAGGAUGAAGGUCUUCGGAUUGUAAACUCCUGUUGCCCGGGACGAAUGGCUCCGACCUAACACGUCGGAGUGUGACGGUACCGGGUGAGGAAGCCCCGGCUAACUCUGUGCCAGCAGCCGCGGUAAUACAGAGGGGGCAAGCGUUGUUCGGAAUUACUGGGCGUAAAGGGCGCGUAGGCGGCCUGUUAAGUCAGACGUGAAAUCCCCGGGCUCAACCCGGGAACUGCGUCUGAUACUGGUAGGCUUGAAUCCGGGAGAGGGAUGCGGAAUUCCAGGUGUAGCGGUGAAAUGCGUAGAUAUCUGGAGGAACACCGGUGGCGAAGGCGGCAUCCUGGACCGGCAUUGACGCUAAGGCGCGAAAGCCAGGGGAGCAAACGGGAUUAGAUACCCCGGUAGUCCUGGCCCUAAACGAUGAAUGCUUGGUGUGGCGGGUAUCGAUCCCUGCUGUGCCGAAGCUAACGCAUUAAGCAUU
rnacentral:rRNA from 1 species